GAUGAACGCUGGCGGCGUGCCUAAUACAUGCAAGUCGAGCGAACAGACGAGGAGCUUGCUCCUCUGACGUUAGCGGCGGACGGGUGAGUAACACGUGGAUAACCUACCUAUAAGACUGGGAUAACUUCGGGAAACCGGAGCUAAUACCGGAUAAUAUAUUGAACCGCAUGGUUCAAUAGUGAAAGACGGUUUUGCUGUCACUUAUAGAUGGAUCCGCGCCGCAUUAGCUAGUUGGUAAGGUAACGGCUUACCAAGGCAACGAGGCGUAGCCGACCUGAGAGGGUGAUCGCCCACACUGGAACUGAGACACGGUCCAGACUCCUACGGGAGGCAGCAGUAGGGAAUCUUCCGCAAUGGGCGAAAGCUUGACGGAGCAACGCCGCGUGAGUGAUGAAGGUCUUCGGAUCGUAAAACUCUGUUAUUAGGGAAGAACAAAUGUGUAAGUAACUAUGCACGUCUUGACGGUACCUAAUCAGAAAGCCACGGCUAACUACGUG
rnacentral:rRNA from 1 species